rnacentral:ncRNA from 1 species
CAGAGUAAGCUUGUGUGCGUAUAACUGUCAGCGGCAUAACCGCUGCAGUAUGCAGUGUCAUGCGAACGGGGAGUUGUCGCAUGAACGAAAGGAUAUCCUGCGAUACACGGGCUGCAUCCCGCUG